AUUGAACGCUGGCGGCAUGCCUUACACAUGCAAGUCGAACGGCAGCGGGGACUUCGGUCCGCCGGCGAGUGGCGAACGGGUGAGUAAUGUAUCGGAACGUACCAUUGAGUGGGGGAUAACGUAGCGAAAGUUACGCUAAUACCGCAUAUUCUCUCCGGAGGAAAGCAGGGGACCGCAAGGCCUUGCGCUCUUUGAGCGGCCGAUAUCAGAUUAGCUAGUUGGUGAGGUAAAGGCUCACCAAGGCGACGAUCUGUAGCGGGUCUGAGAGGAUGAUCCGCCACACUGGAACUGAGACACGGUCCAGACUCCUACGGGAGGCAGCAGUGGGGAAUUUUGGACAAUGGGGGCAACCCUGAUCCAGCCAUGCCGCGUGAGUGAAGAAGGCCUUCGGGUUGUAAAGCUCUUUCGGCCGAGAAAAAAUCGCAUGGGCUAAUAUCCUGUGUGGAUGAUGGUACCGGAAUAAGAAGCACCGGCUAACUACGUGCCAGCAGCCGCCGUAAAAC
rnacentral:rRNA from 1 species